CGUUAAAGAGCGGCCACGGGUCGACCCCAGAGGAGGCCGCACUUCGGCGCUGGGCAAAGUGAUUCCAAUAUGCGUGCCUGCAAUCUCAGAGACUUCAAGCCCAGAAGGGACCAGUCAUGAUCCUCUACUCUGACCUCCUGCACAUCACUGGCCACAGAACCUCGCCCACCUUCUCCUGUGGUGGGCCCAGCACCUCUGGCUGAGUUACUGCAGUCCUCAAAGCUUGAUUUAAAGCCUCAGCUCAUGUGUCUUUGGUGGCUUCCCUAAUGAUGCGCAAGGUUCUGGUGGAGUAAACCCGGAAUAACUCCAGCCAAGCCACACAACGGUGGUGCUAGCCCAUUGGGGGCCCUAAGCGGUAAUCGGUUUUUUGCUCCUCCCAACACAUAAUAGAAAACGAAUAGGAGGCCCCAUGGAGCUGCUUGGGGCCGUAACUUAUGCCUCGUGCCAUCUCUGGGUUCACCC